rnacentral:rRNA from 1 species
UACGUAGGGUGCGAGCGUUGUCCGGAAUUAUUGGGCGUAAAGAGCUCGUAGGCGGCUUGUCACGUCGGAUGUGAAAGCCCGGGGCUUAACCCCGGGUCUGCAUUCGAUACGGGCAGGCUAGAGUGUGGUAGGGGAGAUCGGAAUUCCUGGUGUAGCGGUGAAAUGCGCAGAUAUCAGGAGGAACACCGGUGGCGAAGGCGGAUCUCUGGGCCAUUACUGACGCUGAGGAGCGAAAGUGUGGGGAGCGAACAGG